AUACUUUAAUACACAUGGAUGUGAAACAUUACCGGAAGCUCCAUAUAAAGUCUAUGGAGAAACGUCACUUCCUGUUGUCUCCAUGCUAUACAACAAAGAAAAUGGCGAGUGAGGACAAAUGAUCGCCUGAUUUUGUUCAGUAAUAGGUUAAUGCAUGAUAUGAAUUGAGACUUUUACUUAAUUGCCUCCUGUGUGUUGAGCUAUUCACCAAAAAAUGGCAAUUUUUCUAUAAUUAACCACCUUGGGCAAAAUUUCUAGCCAAUGCUCACAGAUAUUCAAGGAACACAACAUUAGGAGACUACUUCGAACAGCAGAAAAAGGUUCGAAAUGCCACCAUUUUUGAGGGUUCCAACUAUAGGUCUAACAGGAAAUAUAUGUAAAAGUAUUAUUUCAUUCACUUCCAAAGGACUGGUUGUUAUCUAUAUACCAAUGAUAAUUCAAUUAUAUUUUUAUCUCUUAUUAUUUUUAAUUUUAGAAUCUGUCAUUCACUCAGUACCCAAAGGACUCAUGUAUCACACAUUCAUGGUGAAGAAGAGGCUAUGAUUUUUGCUAGCCUAUAAGCUCAGAACUUGUACAAUUAUUUGCUACUUAUUUGCUAUAUUAAUUCUGAAUCUUUAAAAUUAUAACAUAAAAAUCAUGGUCAGUAUACUUAGUGACUAGUAUGUUGUAUCAUAGCUCACAGAGCUCAGUGUAAUAGUCAUCCUAUCUUUAUUCCUAUUGUUUUAUAGCAAUCAAUAUGACAUGGUUUAAAACUCAA